rfam:Gonapodya prolifera JEL478 unplaced genomic scaffold M427scaffold_55, whole genome shotgun sequence.
GCCCUUGUGGCUCAGUGGCAGCGCGUCAGUCUCGUAAACUGAAGGUCCCGUGUUCAAUCCACGGCGGGGGCA